rnacentral:rRNA from 1 species
GUGCGAAAACUUUACAAUACACGCAAGUGUGAUAAGGGGAUUCCAAGUGCUAACGCUUUGCGUUGGCUUUUGCCAAGGGUAAGAACCUUGGCGAAUAAGUGGUGGGCAAGACUGGUGCCAGCCGCCGCGGUAACACCAGCUCCACGAGUGGGGAUCGGAUUUAUUGGGCCUAAAGCGUCCGUAGCCGGUUUAGCAAAUCUUUUGUGAAAUUGUCAAGCUCAACUUGACAGCGUGCAGGAGAGACUACUAGACUAGGGACUGGGAAGAGUGUGGGGUAUUCCUUAGGGAGCGGUAAAAUGUUAUAAUCUUUGGAAGACCACCUGUGGCGAAGGCGCCACACUAGAACAGAUCCGACGGUGAGGGACGAAAGCUAGGGGAGCGAUCCGGAUUAGAUACCCGAGUAGUCCUAAGCCGUAAACCCUGCGAGUUAGGUGUUGCAUAUUCUUCGGGAAUAUGCAGUAUCGAAGUGAAGACGCUUAAAAC